rnacentral:rRNA from 1 species
CCUCAACACCAGUUGAUCCUGCUGGAGGACACCGCUAUCGGAUUGCGAUUAAGCCAUGCAAGUCUAAAGACUGGACUUCCAGUCUUGGCAUACGGCUGAAUAACACGUAGUCAACCUACCCUAGAGAAGGGGAUAACGACGCGAAAGUGUCGUUAAUACCCUAUAGCUCUCUCAACCUGGAACACUGGUGAGAGAGUCAAAAGAGCUGCAAAUUGUAGUAGUUUCGCUCUAGGAUGGGACUGCGGCUGAUUAGGCUGUUGGAGGUGUAACGGACCCCCAAACCUAUAAUCAGUAGGGGUCAUGGGAGUGAUGGCCCCCAGAUGGGCACUGAGAUAAGGGCCCAAGCCCUCCGGGGUGCAGCAGGCGCGAAAAUUCCACAAUGCGCGAAAGCGUGAUGGGGGUAGUCCGAGUGAUUUCCGAAAGGAAUUCUUUUGCUAAGCUUGAAUAGCUUGGAGAAUAAGUGGUGGGUAAAUCCUGUGCCAGCCGCCGCGGUAAUACAGGUAGCACGAGUGGUGUCCACGAAUAUUGAGUCUAAAGCGCUCGUAGCCGGUUUAGAAAAUCUCUUGUCAAAUCUCUACGCUCAACGUAGAGGCGCGCAAGAGACACUACUAGACUAGGGAGUGGAGGAGGUUAGGGGUACUGCAGGGGGAACGGUAAAAACCUCUUUUCUUUUUAAAAAAGAAAAGACGUUUACGAGAAAAAGAAAACCGUAACGGUUACAAUGUUGUAAUCCUUGCAGGACCACCAGUGGCGAAGGCGCCUAACCAAGACACGUCCGACGGUGAGGGGCGAAGGCUAGGGGAGCAAACCGGAUUAGAUACCCGGGUAGUCCUAGCAGUAAAUUAUGCAGACUUGGCGUUGCACUUGCUUCGAGCGAGUGCAGUGUCGAAGGGAAGCCGUUUAGUCUGCCACUUGGGGAGUACGGUCGCAAGAUUGAAACUUAAAGGAAUUGGCGGGGGAGCACCACAAGCCGUGGAUGCUGCGGUUCAAUUGGAUUCAACGCCGGGAAACUCACCAGGAAAGACAGCAGGAUGAAGCCCAGACUAAAGAUCUUGGCCGACAAGCUGAGAAGUGUUGCAUGGCCAGCGUCAGCUCGUGCCGUGAGGUGUCAGGUUAAGUCCUGCAACGAGCGAGAUCUUCGUCUACAGUUGCUACACUCACAGCGAUGUGGGAAGCACUCUGUGGAGACUGCCUAUGUUAAAUUGGAGGAAGGAGAAGGCGACGCUAGGUCAGUAUGGCCUGAAUUUCCUGGGCCACACGUGGCAUACAAUGGUAGAGACAAUGAGUUCCGACGCCGAAAGGCGAAGGCAAUCCCCAAAACUCUACCUAAGUUCGGAUCGAGGGCUGAAACUCGUCCUCGUGAAGCUGGAAUGGCUAGUAAUCGCGUGUCAUCAAUCUUUUUGUAGUUCGUAAUUAUGAAAAGAAUGGAAUCGCGCGGUGAAUAUGUCCCCGCUCCUUGCACACACCGCCCGUCAAGCCACCCAAGCGAGCUUUUAGUGAGGCUCCGCCCUUCGGGCAGAGUCGAGCUAUAGGUUCGUGAGGAGGGUUAAGUCGUAACAAGGUAACCGUAGGGGAACCUGCGGUUAGAUCACCUCCAAA